CCGGCGCUGGGACCCGCCCAGCCCUUGCUCCCACCAUGAGCGCCACCGCCCACCACAACGCCCCCCCUCGGCGUGGCGGAUCAGAGAGGGGCGGGAGAGAGAGAGAGAGAGACGGCGGCGGAAGCUUCUAGAAGACGCGAGAGCAAGGGAGGCAGAAAAGGCGGAGGAGGAGAUGGAGAAUGGCGAAGUCGGGGAGGGUUUUUGUUGCUUCU
rnacentral:lncRNA from 1 species